ensembl:snoRNA SNORA70 Small nucleolar RNA SNORA70
CUGCAGCUUAUUAAGCCGACUAGUCUCGCUGUGGUGCGGUUCUAGUGUGCAAAGGCUGCAGACAGUGACUCUCUGGUUGUGUAUGUCCUCAGCUGUGUGGUGCUGAGUGCUUUAAGGGACCAUUGAUACACUA